GCUUAACACAUGCAAGUCGAACGGAAUCCAUGGUGUAGCAAUACACCGGAAGAUUUAGUGGCGAACGGGUGAGGAUCACGUGAGAAACCUGCCCCAGACUUUGGGAUAACAAUUGGAAACGAUUGCUAAUACCGAAUGACGUCGGAGAACCGCAUGGUUCACUGACGAAAGGAAAUCCGGUUUGGGAGGGUCUCGCGGCCUAUCAGCUUGUUGGUGGGGUAAUGGCCUACCAAGGCAACGACGGGUAGCUGGUCUGAGAGGAUGAUCAGCCACACUGGGACUGAGACACGGCCCAGACUCCUACGGGAGGCAGCAGUGGGGAAUCUUGCGCAAUGGGCGAAAGCCUGACGCAGCAACGCCGCGUGCGGGAUGAAGGCCUUCGGGCUGUAAACCGCUUUCAGCAGGAACGAAAAUGACGGUACCUGCAGAAGAAGGAGCGGCCAACUACGUGCCAGCAGCCGCGGUGACACGUAGGCUCCAAGCGUUGUCCGGAUUUAUUGGGCGUAAAGAGCUCGUAGGCGGUUUAGUAAGUCGGGUGUUAAAACUCUGGGCUCAACCCGGAGAGGCCAUCCGAUACUGCUGUGACUUGAGUUCAGGAGGGGAGCGGGGAAUUCCUAGUGUAGCGGUGAAAUGCGCAGAUAUUAGGAGGAACACCGGUGGCGAAGGCGCCGCUCUGGACUGAAACUGACGCUGAGGAGCGAAAGCAUGGGUAGCAAACAGGAUUAGAUACCC
rnacentral:rRNA from 1 species